UACGAAGGGGGCUAGCGUUGCUCGGAAUCACUGGGCGUAAAGCGCACGUAGGCGGAUCUUUAAGUCAGGGGUGAAAUCCCAAGGCUCAACCUUGGAACUGCCUUUGAUACUGGGGAUCUCGAGUCCGGAAGAGGUUGGUGGAACUGCGAGUGUAGAGGUGAAAUUCGUAGAUAUUCGCAAGAGCACCAGUGGCGAAGGCGGCCAACUGGUCCGGAACUGACGCUGAGGUGCGAAAGCGUGGGGAGCAAACAGG
rnacentral:rRNA from 1 species